UGUUGAUUUGCUGAAUUAAAGAACAUAAUUAUGGCCACAAAAGGAUUGUUUGCCGUAAAUUUCGAAGUUUUUGGAUUAGUUCAAGGAAAUAUACUGUGCAGCGGGCAAAAGGCUUGGGGUUAAGAGGAUGGUGCAUGAAUACUCGUAACCGAACAGUACAAGGACAAUUGGAAGGUCCAGAAACGAAAAUAAACGAGAUAUACAUUGCCUGACAUUGCCUGUAGCGAAUUCGCUUGAAAAUAAGAAAGCCUUAGCCGAUCAGAAAGACGAAGAAACGGACACUUACUCCGUGCAAGCGGACGUGUGGAUGUUCCAGUAAGGCAACCAGCGCUGCUGGUAAUUUCCUUAAAUUGGAUAGUUGAAAAAUAUAAUAACAAUUUAAUUCCAGGCACACCUGCUUAACGGAAGUCUUACCCUCGCCUAUUUUAAAUGAGAACGGCCUUCCAUAUCAAAAGAGAAGGGAAUCGAAACAUGCUGUCCUUUCACCAAUCGCAAUCACGAACUUUAUAAAUUAGUAAUUUACUUUCAAUAUUGUUUUUUCUUUUUUUUUUUUUUGUAAUGCAUUAGAAAAGUAAUUGUGCGUAAA